rnacentral:rRNA from 1 species
ACGGGGAAACUCACCAGGUCCAGACACAAUAAGGGUUGACAGAUUGAUAGCUCUUUCUUGAUUUUGUGGGUGGUGGUGCAUGGCCGUUCUUAGUUGGUGGAGUGAUUUGUCUGCUUAAUUGCGAUAACGAACGAGACCUUGACCUACUAAAUAGCUCUACUUGCGAUUGCAGGUAGCUAGCUUCUUAGAGGGACUAUCUAUUACAAGUAGGUGGAAGUUCGAG